UACAGAGGUGGCGAGCGUUGUUCGGAUUCAUUGGGCGUAAAGGGUGCGUAGGUGGUUUGGUAAGUUGGAUGUGAAAUGCCACAGCUCAACUGGGGAAUUGCAUCCAAAACUACCUUACUUGAGGAUCUCGGGAAGAGAAUAGAAUUCUCGGUGUAGCGGUGAAAUGCGUAGAUAUCGAGAAGAAUACCUGUGGCGAAGGCGGUUCUCUACCAUAUUCCUGACACUAAAGCACGAAAGCGCGGGGAGCAAACGGG
rnacentral:rRNA from 1 species